UACAUUUUAGUAUAUGAUGUACAUAAACUUUUGAUGUUUAAAGAGAUAGUUUAAUUCUAUUAAAUGUAA
rnacentral:tRNA from 1 species